CUGGAAACUUCCAUACGUCCUCAAUCUUUUACAACAAUUGAUAAACAAUGAUCCAUAAAUAACUUUAUAAAUCAAACAUUAAUUCAUUAAAUCGAUUCUCUUCACUAGAGUCAACACUAACACAAAAGAAACAAGAAAACUAAGAAGAAGAGAUAGCACCAAGCUUAUCCCCAGCUCAGUACUAUCGCAGUUUGGCAUUUUCUUCCCCUCUCCCAUCCUCCUUAUACUACCCCGAGAUACCAACUCCUAUACUAUAGAUGAUAACUAAUUUUCUUGACUAUUCAUCUAUUCUACCUGCUAAACCACCUUUUCAGUACUUAUCUAUUCCUGUUUAUACUAUACACUAGGUAUCUACAUUCUAAAAAUAACUACUUAUUCUAUAUAGCCCCACUCCUAACUAUGCAGCAUCCUCGCAAACACUCAAUUGAUACCUAUCUAAAAAAAUUCUAACAAAAAUCUACAAAAAUUGCGAUCCCUCUGGCCUAUCUAAUUAAUUAAUUGCCACAGUAUCUGUUAUUGGUUCCACCGAUCCUGAUUCCAACUCCAAAUCUUCAUCUUCCUCCAAUCCUUCAAUCGGCUCUUGCCUCAACUGAGUUGAAAGGUCUUGAUUAUACUCACCCAAUUCAUGGACUUGAGCUUCCAAUUUCAGGUUCUCGGCAUCUCUCAAUUCCAACUGGCACUGAAAGUGACUCCUCUCUUUUAGAACUUCGGGAACUGGCAACGUCGAUACUUGUGCUUGACCAAUAUUGACUAAAUCUACUACCAAUCUUGUCACCUCGAC
rnacentral:lncRNA from 1 species